rnacentral:rRNA from 1 species
UACGUAGGGGGCAAGCGUUGUCCGGAUUUAUUGGGCGUAAAGAGCGUGUAGGCGGCCAUUCAGGUCAGCUGUGAAAACUCGAGGCUCAACCUCGAGACGUCGGUUGAAACCGUUUGGCUAGAGUCCGGAAGAGGAGAGUGGAAUUCCCGGUGUAGCGGUGAAAUGCGCAGAUAUCGGGAAGAACACCCGUGGCGAAGGCGGCUCUCUGGGGACGGUACUGACGCUGAGACGCGAAAGCGUGGGGAGCGAACAGG